CGCACUGCACCCGGCACUCCUCUGUCUGCUUCAGCGUCUCCUUCAGGCACUCCCUCCAUUCCUCCACUGCACGGGGCCAUUCAGAGGAGGACUCCGAAAGCACUGCCGAGUCAUACAGUGACUGAGCGAGGCAGCCGGCCUCCUCCGUCACUCCUUUCAUUCGCCUGUACUUCUCCAAGUUGUUCCUCAUCUCAAGGUGGUUUGGGUUGGCCACAAAGAAAGUGUGAGCCGCAGAUACGGCCCUGUGCACCCUCCCCAGCUGGGGGCGUAACACACAACUGAUUUUACAGAAAUAUAGUCAAUCAAGAGUGCAGAGUUCAUCACAUACACUGCUGGGCUUAAUUGCCGUACAAUAAUGGUAUUUAAUGUCUUUUCAGCAAUAUGUGCAAAUGAUACAAAUGGCUACCUGUACAUGUAAUGACUUCUUAUCGAGCUGCAUUAUCUAAUUGGCUGACAGGCCCAUAGGUUUGUACAGAUUUUCUUACAAUGUAUUUAUUCUUCUGCGAAGGGUGGUAGACCAGUGUUUUCAGUGAAAAAAGGGAAAUUAGCAGCUGUGUGUCCCCAUAACCUGGUUGAGUAAUUCAAUUUGAGUAGAUGGGUGUGGAGAGGUAACAGGCUCCACUGGGUGGAGGGGGUUGUGCUGAAGGGCAGAAGAUACACUGCAUACAUAUGCAGGCCUGAACUGGUGGCUACCUUGUAGUACGUGACCUGCAGGAAGUUAUAGGGGUUGCGGAUGCCAAACUCAUACAGGAUGUCCUCAGAGACCGGGAGCAGGGCUGCUGGGCUGAUUGCUUGAGUGAGACAGUGCUGGACACACUCAGCCCUCCGCUGGACCCAAUCCAGAGCCCAUAAGUCCCACAAACUGCCCUUCUCAGCAUCUGAAGUGGUAUAUGUAAGAAAUAAAUGAUCUAAGUGCUACAUUAGUCACAAAUCCAAAAUUCAUUACAAAGCUGCAGCUCUCCUCAUCUUAUUAUAACAUUAAAACAUUAAAAAGUGAGUUAAGUUGUAUCAUGCAUGCGUUGUGUUGUGUAUAAAUAUCCAUGUAAGUUAUCCGUGAACCAUACGAGUGCUGUAACAGCAGGUAAAUGAAAACGAUUUUCUGCAACCUGAAUUUACAGGCAUACACAUGCACACAAACAUCAAAUACCCAGUUUAGGCAGCCGGUCGUGUCCAGCUGUGACACAGCUGUCGUGACAUUUUCGACGUGUCUGGAAAAGUGACUCCCGGGAUGCGAUCGACUUCUCUAUCAGCUCCGCCGCUUUCUCCCACUCUUUCCUGAAAUAAGCCCGGACCCCCGUAUAAUACAGGGCAUCAUAAGGGUCUAUAGGGCCACUCGUUGAU